UCAAAAUGACAGAUCUUCAUGAUAAGCCCUAUCCAGUCUGAUCUUGGAAGCUAAGCAGGGUUGGGCCUGGGUAGUACUUUGACAGGAGAAAGAGAAAGUGGCUUAGUAGGAA
rnacentral:rRNA from 1 species